UGAAGAACAUAAAGCGGUGAA
rnacentral:misc_RNA from 1 species